AUUGAACGCUGGCGGCAGGCCUAACACAUGCAAGUCGAGCGGAUGAAGGGAGCUUGCUCCUGGAUUCAGCGGCGGACGGGUGAGUAAUGCCUAGGAAUCUGCCUGGUAGUGGGGGAUAACGUCCGGAAACGGGCGCUAAUACCGCAUACGUCCUGAGGGAGAAAGUGGGGGAUCUUCGGACCUCACGCUAUCAGAUGAGCCUAGGUCGGAUUAGCUAGUUGGUGGGGUAAAGGCCUACCAAGGCGACGAUCCGUAACUGGUCUGAGAGGAUGAUCAGUCAACCUGGAAGUGAGAAACGGCCCAGAACCCGCAGGGGGGCAGGAGGGGGGAAAUUUGGAAAAUGGGCGAAAGCCUGACCCAGCCAUGCCGCGUGGGUGAAGAAGGUCUUCGGUUUGUAAAGCACUUUAAGUUGGGAGGAAGGGAAGUAAUUUAAUACCUUGCUUUUUGGCCGUGACCAACAAAAAAAGCACCGGCAAACUUCGU
rnacentral:rRNA from 1 species